rnacentral:rRNA from 1 species
GUGAACGCUGGCGGUAGGCCUAACACAUGCAAGUCGAACGGCAGCACAGUAAGAGCUUGCUCUUACGGGUGGCGAGUGGCGGACGGGUGAGGAAUACAUCGGAAUCUACUUUUUCGUGGGGGAUAACGUAGGGAAACUUACGCUAAUACCGCAUACGACCUACGGGUGAAAGCAGGGGAUCUUCGGACCUUGCGCGAUUGAAUGAGCCGAUGUCGGAUUAGCUAGUUGGCGGGGUAAAGGCCCACCAAGGCGACGAUCCGUAGCUGGUCUGAGAGGAUGAUCAGCCACACUGGAACUGAGACACGGUCCAGACUCCUACGGGAGGCAGCAGUGGGGAAUAUUGGACAAUGGGCGCAAGCCUGAUCCAGCCACACCGCGUGGGUGAAGAAGGCCUUCGGGUUGUAAAGCCCUCUUGUUGGGAAAGAAAAGCAGCAGGUUAAUACCCCGCUGUUCUGACGGUACCCAAAGAAUAAGCACCGGCUAACUUCGUG